CUCAAAAUGAGCCCAAAGCCGGGAGUAAUAUAACCGUCAGAACUGGAAAUUGCGGAUUUGACUGAUGACUCGAAAAUGUUCAGUAUACCAUUACCAUUGAGAUCUGCAGCUGUGGAAGCCACAAACAUAUCAGAAUGCCACUUAUGUGGUAGGCUAACCCUGUGAAAAACAGUAACUGUCCUGCCAGGCUACCAAGUCAGCAUGUGAGCAUACGGUAUAUUUGAAGACAGGAAUUGUGGUUUCUAAUGGAUAAUGGACUGACAGGACGCAUCAUUAGCCACAGUACUACAGUGUCUGACAGGAGUUACACAUACGUUGUAUACCUAUUAGUUCUGACUGUCACGUCUGUCUCGCUGUCUGCCUGUCGCCCUCUCUUUCUCUCAGGUUGUCUCUGUGUCUCUCUUCCGUACACUUUCCGACUGCUCUUGAGGAUACGCUGUCUGUCUGUCUCUCUCUCACACACACAGCUGCUGUUCUUCUCCUGGUUGGAUGAGUGUCAGUAAUCAUUACCGGUGUCAGUCUGUGCCCUCAACCGCUUUCCACAGAAACCAUAGAAACCAGCUCUGUUCCUCAUUACUGUCACAGUGCCAGCAACACACGCAGCCAUGAUAUACCGACAGGAUCUCUCAAAUAUAAUUUGCAUUCAGAAAAGGGGUUUCCGGUAAAAUUUACUGUCUGCAAAGACUAUCAGAAUAAUCAUUCUCAUUCAUACUGUACACGCCACCUCAGAUUUUUGAGCUGAAUACAUUAAUGCCCCCCCAAAAAAAUCUUUGAAUCCUUGACUGAAAAUUCAGUAAUUCUUUUUUGUCUAAA